CUAGGCAUCAGGAUAGAUAAUAAUAAGGUAUUUGAGGUAGAUAUGUACAUGAAGGCAGGGUAACGUGACUAGACAUCAGGAUAGAUAAUAAUAAGGUAUUAGAGGUAGAUAUGUACAUGAAGGCAGGGUAAAGUGACUAGACAUCAGGAUAGAUAAUAAUAAGGUAUUAGAGGUAGAUAUGUACAUGAAGGCAGGGUAAAGUGACUAGGCAUCAGGAUAGAUAAUAAUAAGGUAUUAGAGGUAGAUAUGUACAUGAAGGCAGGGUAAAGUGACUAGACAUCAGGAUAGAUAAUAAUAAGGUAUUAGAGGUAGAUAUGUACAUGAAGGCAGGGUAAAGUGACUAGGCAUCAGGAUAGAUAAUAAUAAGGUAUUUGAGGUAGAUAUGUACAUGAAGGCAGGGUAAAGUGACUAGACAUCAGGAUAGAUAAUAAUAAGGUAUUAGAGGUAGAUAUGUACAUGAAGGCAGGGUAAAGUGACUAGGCAUCAGGAUAGAUAAUAAUAAGGUAUUAGAGGUAGAUAUGUACAUGAAGGCAGGGUAAAGUGACUAGACAUCAGGAUAGAUAAUAAUAAGGUAUUAGAGGUAGAUAUGUACAUGAAGGCAGGGUAAAGUGACUAGGCAUCAGGAUAGAUAAUAAUAAGGUAUUUGAGGUAGAUAUGUACAUGAAGGCAGGGUAAAGUGACUAGACAUCAGGAUAGAUAAUAAUAAGGUAUUAGAGGUAGAUAUGUACAUGAAGGCAGGGUAAAGUGACUAGGCAUCAGGAUAGAUAAUAAUAAGGUAUUAGAGGUAGAUAUGUACAUGAAGGCAGGGUAAAGUGACUAGGCAUCAGGAUAGAUAAUAAUAAGGUAUUAGAGGUAGAUAUGUACAUGAAGGCAGGGUAAAGUGACUAGGCAUCAGGAUAGAUAAUAAUAAGGUAUUAGAGGUAGAUAUGUACAUGAAGGCAGGGUAAAGUGACUAGACAUCAGGAUAGAUAAUAAUAAGGUAUUAGAGGUAGAUAUGUACAUGAAGGCAGGGUAAAGUGACUAGACAUCAGGAUAGAUAAUAAUAAGGUAUUAGAGGUAGAUAUGUACAUGAAGGCAGGGUAACGUGACUAGACAUCAGGAUAGAUAAUAAUAAGGUAUUAGAGGUAGAUAUGUACAUGAAGGCAGGGUAAAGUGACUAGGCAUCAGGAUAGAUAAUAAUAAGGUAUUAGAGGUAGAUAUGUACAUGAAGGCAGGGUAACGUAAUAAUAUGAGUAAAACAAAGAACCGAGUAGUAGCAGCAGCCGCUCAAGAUUGUGU